AAAAAUGUCUACGGACUCUCUAAGGCAUGCCUAAGUACGUGGCAUGCUAGUUGAACGCUAUCCGAAGGAGAAGGAAGUAGUAUAACUGAAUAAAAGCAACGCGAUCGAUCGGAACAUUCGGGGUUCGAGGACGGAGCAAGCGCUGGGACUAAAUUAAAUAAAUCUAGAUUGAACAAAUUUUGUUCGCUAGUGAACUAUUAUUGAGAAUGCAGAGCAUGGUUUCUCGGGAAUUUCAAAGACAGCUGUUUUUAUCUAGAACUUUAACUUCGGGUGCUUGUAAAAAAUUAAAUGCUCGACGUAUCGAGACAAUUCGUAGGCUGUAAUAUAGAAUAUUCUAUGCAGAAUGUCUUAAUAAAAUAAAAUUUGUUAUAAAAAUAGAA